rnacentral:misc_RNA from 1 species
UGCGAGCUCAAAAGCCAUGUUGGAGCCGCCGAUUUCGUGGCCAUCGAUCUGGAGAUGACCGGCGUCACCAGCGCUCCCUGGCGAGAGUCCUUCGAAUAUGACCGAUACGACGUUCGCUACCUCAAGGUCAAAGAUUCCGCUGAAAAGUUCGCUAUCCUUCAGUUCGGCGUCUGUCCUUUUCGCUGGGACGCCCACCACCAAUCCUUCAUUGCUCAUCCGCACAAUUUCUACAUAUUUCCCCGUCAAGAGCUAGCAGCUGAUGGUACCUCUUAUGAGUUCCUCUGCCAAACCAC